rnacentral:rRNA from 1 species
UACAGAGGUCUCAAGCGUUGUUCGGAUUCAUUGGGCGUAAAGGGUGUGUAGGUGGCGCCGUAAGUCGGGUGUGAAAUUUCGGAGCUUAACUCCGAAACUGCAUUCGAUACUGCGGUGCUUGAGGACUGGGGAGGGGACUGGAAUUCAUGGUGUAGCAGUGAAAUGCGUAGAGAUCAUGAGGAAGACCAGUGGCGAAGGCGGGUCUCUGGACAGUUCCUGACACUGAGACACGAAGGCCAGGGGAGCAAACGGG